ACGGAGGGUGCAAGCGUUAAUCGGAAUCACUGGGCGUAAAGCGCACGUAGGCGGUGCGGUCAGUCAGACGUGAAAGCCCACGGCUUAACCGUGGAACUGCGUUUGAUACUGCCGGACUUGAGUGUCGGAGAGGGUGGCGGAAUUCCGGGUGUAGGAGUGAAAUCCGUAGAUAUCCGGAGGAACACCAGUGGCGAAGGCGGCCACCUGGACGACAACUGACGCUGAGGUGCGAAAGCGUGGGGAGCAAACAG
rnacentral:rRNA from 1 species